rnacentral:misc_RNA from 1 species
GAUGAAGAACGCAGCGAAAUGCGAUACGUAAUGUAAAUUGCAGAAUUCAGUGAAUCAUCGAGUCUUUGAACGCACAUUGCGCCCCCUGGUAUUCCGGGGGGCAUGCCUGUCCGAGCGUCAUUGCUGCCCUCAAGCACGGCUUGUGUGUUGGGCCUCCGUCCUCCUCCCGGGGGACGGGCUCGAAAGGCAGCGGCGGCACCGCGUCCGGUCCUCGAGCGUAUGGGGCUUCGUCACCCGCUCUUGUAGGCCCGGCCGGCGCUUGCCGACACAUCAAUCUUUUUUCCAGGUUGACCUCGGAUCAGGUAGGGAUACCCGCUGAACUUAAGCAUAUCAAUAAGCGGAGG